rnacentral:scRNA from 1 species
GUUGGGCCUGUUACAGCCGAAUGGAUUAACCG